GCUCUUAAUACUGGCAAAUGAAAACUUUCAUUUCUGGUGAUUCUUUACCUGAUAAGAACAAAGUAAAAUGUUGCUCACAGUGCCACUUCCCAUCAUUGCCUCAAAAUGUCCCAAGUUGCUCUUACAAGUUCUCUAUGUGGGCUGGCUGUAAAAUUUGAGAAACGAAACUGAGAACCCCUGUGACGGCUUCUUGAUUGGUCUCACAUGGUGUGGAUUGGUGGGUCUCUGUGUGCUGCUAACCACCAUCAGCUAUGUUUUCCUCAGGGUGGUUCAAAUCACAGUGUUGGUGAUGUCACUCCUGCCACCUCUCCUGAGAUUGGCGUGGUUCUGCUGUCAAAAACUUGGAAAAUACUGAAUCAUCUCCCCGAGGAAAAUUGGUGCUUCUCAGCUUCAGACUUGAGUUUCCAGCGAGAAUAAGACAGAGGCGCAUCCUACUGGGAAGCAGUGGGGCUGGGACAAGUCAAAGGCCUCCCUCAAUCCACUCACAGUUCUUCAUCUCUUCAGGGUGAUUUGCCUGUCACCAUCCACAUGGUGCCUGAGGCAAAGGGUUAGUGCUGCUGCUGGUGACAUACCCUAGAGCAGCGGCAGCAGCAAUUACCUGGGAGUCACAUUAUAUUUGCAGUUUGUUCGGAGGGAUGGAUGGAAGAGACUGCAGGUCAACAUCAAGUUUUUUGGUCAGACUUAGCAAAUACAGGAAUAAAAAUAUGACCGCAACGGUCAUUUACAUAUAAGCUACUUUAACCUUAUGUCUCUGCACCCUUGAAUGCGUCCUUCUGUUUCUGUUUCUGAAGUUCUUACACUAUAGAACUACUUCAUGGGACUAUAUUUGACACGAGACUUACUUUCCUGUAGGUGAACAGACUUUGCUCAAGCACUAUCAGAGAUAGGGAGAGAGAAGGAAGCAACGAUAAAGGGAAUACAGUAAAGUGAUUUAAGGAUAAUUUUUAAAAAUGAACUCAAAUGAUGAAAGUAGAAAU
rnacentral:lncRNA from 1 species